GAUGUUCUACAUCCAACUGCCAGUACCAUAACUCACGCUGUCAGUAUGAAGUUGUUUAUAGUUUGUUUAUUGUUCCUCUCAGGUUUAUCAGGUGUUCACUGUGAUGUACAACUUGACCAGUCAGAGUCAGUGGUGAUAAAGCCGGGAGGGUCUCACAAACUGUCCUGCACAGCCUCUGGCUUCACAUUCAGUAGCUACUGGAUGAGCUGGGUUAGACAGGAUCCUGAGAAAAGAUUACAGUGGGUGUCUCGUAUUAGCAACGACGGGGGUAGCACAUACUAUGCUGAUUCAUUUAAAGGAAGAUUCACCAUCUCCAGAGACAAUAAUAACAACAAGUUAUAUCUGCAAAUGAACAAUCUACAAACUGAAGACACUGCCGUGUAUUACUGUGCUAGAGACACACAGUGACAAAUAGUCUCAGAGCAGUG